rnacentral:lncRNA from 1 species
AUGUCACAUGCCAUAAUGCCACAAGUCAUACGAGAAUGAAAGAGAAAUUGCAUUAAUAUAAAUAUUAAGUACCAAAGUUUACAAACCAUAAUGCAAAGAUAGAUUUACAAUAUACAAAGAUGUGGGAAAACAUAAGGAAUGGUACUAGUAUAGCUCAUUGAGGUGGAGGUGGAGAAUGAAGAGACUGAUGAGGAUGAGGAAAGUGAGGAGAAGGUUGCCCCAUGUACGGAUGUGUAGACCUCAUUUGCUCAAUGUCAGCUUGAAGAUGGCAAACUUGUGCUACCAGCUUAUUUUAAGUUUCCUCCAUAGUUUCCAAUCUAGUGUUCAUUUUGCCAACCACUGAAUGCAUGCUGUUCAUUUGAAGCAAAAGCAUCUCUAAGGUUCUUCGAGUAUUGAAUGGUAAGGUAAAGGGCCCAUCUUAAGGUUCAUGCAUAUCUAAAGGUUCUUGCUCUUCCUCAUCUUCUUAUACAGCUCUAAUAUCACCCUUUUUAACCCAUAAUCUAAUUGUAUUUUGAACAUACCCCAUGCUAUGCAAUGUAAGAGCCCCAAGAACACUAAAUUGGUCAUUGAAUACCAUCUCCUUAUCUCCUCUAGUAUUCACCUCCAAAUGCCUCAAAAGAUUACUUAUGGCAUACCCAUAUAACAAGGUAUAAUCUUUAUUCUGAACUAUCAUCAUCAUAUUAUUAAAAAAUGAAGUGCACCAAAUUUGGUUUCUAUUCAUGCUUGAUCUUAUACAUCCAUCAAUAAUCUUGCUUCCUAAUGGUGGAGUAUUGUGUCCCAAAAGGUGCUAACACAUAAGUAACAAUAAGGUGUAACAACCUAUCAUGCAUGGAUAACCUAGAGGCUUGAGUGGGAGUAACUUGUAAAUUGUGAUUGCUAAAGAUGUCUUGAGCAAGUUGCACCAUGUCGCAUCUAGUAUUUGUUUCCCCCUCAUCAUCUAACCUAAAAGCUUCAACUAGCACUUGUUUGGUAACUAAUAUUUCCUUUCCCAUCACAUAAGUUCUGAAUCGAUCAAGGUAAUGCCUAUUUGAUCCUUCUAUUUGGACACAGCUAGCAUUACUAUAAAAAACUCUUACUAGAUUCUUAAGUCAUAGACCUUCAAUGCAUAAAUAAUAUAAUCAUCCAAAAUUGCUCAAAAGCAUGCAAGUAAGGGAAUUCUAUUGAUUGGAGGAAAUCUAGUGAAAUUACUCUUCCAUGCUUUACUUUUUGAUGUGCAAAAUGCAUCUCAUACUGGUCUUUUGUAUCUAGAUUAUUGAAAUUUUGAUUGAAGGAUGGCUUCAUUGUUGAGCUGAAAGCUUCCCUUGGGGGAUUUCUUCUUCUGGCACUAACUUUGGUUUUUGGGGCCAUGUUGAGGUGAAAUUGAUGAGUAAAUUUGUGAUAGUAGGUGAUGAGGAGCAAGAUAUGUGUGUGAUAUGUAAGAAAGGUGAGUGAGUGUGGUAGAUUAACCUUCUAGAGUGAAAAAAGAUGGGUAUCAAUUUUUAUGUGAUUUGAUGGGUUUCAAGGAGGAAUUUCGACAAGAAAUCAAGUUGGAGUGAAAAAAUUUGCAAAAGAUGUAGCUAAGAAGGAUUAAUUUUGGAUAAGAAAUGAGUGGGAGUGUUUAGGGUUUGGAAAAGAUGAGUUUGGAAAGAAGAUGAAUAGGAGAAAAAAGCUGAAUGAUCGAUCAAACUAAAGGAAGACCCGAUGUUAUCAUGCCAAAGAGACAUGAUCUGAUCGAUAAGUUGAAGUAGGGGAUCGAUCGGUUAUGGUUCUUGCAUGAAACCGAUCCAUUGGUUUUGAAAAAGAUCGAUCGAUUUUGCACUUUUCCAACUUUUUUUAGCUACUGGUUGAAUACCCGAUCGAUCUUAUCCAAAGGGGAUCAAUCAAUUCUGCAUGGUUUCAACUAAAAUUAGCUACUGGAUGCAUAUCCAAUUGAUCCUAUCCCAAGCGAAUCGAUCGAUUCCCUAUGUUUUCCCUUUAAUUUGGCUACGGGGUGAAGAACCAAUCGAUCCAUUCCAAAGGGGAUCGAUUGGUUUUUCUGUAGCAAAUUUUUUUUAAUUAAAAGAUUUAAA